CAUGGUUUGAUUUCAUGAAAAAUGGUUACUUACCUUUUCCUUCACAUGAAAUCGACUGCUGGUAUGACUUGCUCAAGGCACAUUGUGUGAAGUCCAGAAGAACAUAUGCUUGAAAUUGUCCAGCACAAUUUUCAGGAGAGAGUGGCAAGAGCAGCAAGAAGCCCCCAUCUUUAAUGUCUCCUCAUUUCACCUGUGUCUGCACAGUGAUCUGUGGAACUUAAGGAGAGGAUAUGAGCAGAGAACAAAUAACUCUGACAAAAUAUGUGGGGUGUACUCUUGGCCUGGUCCUCUUCAGAGCUACAGAACUUGAACUGGAUCCACAAAGUGAGGAGACUGAGCAUUGGGUAUCAUCUGUCCCACACAAAUUUGGAGAUGCUACAGGGACGAGUGGUGUGAAGAGAAUCUGAAGCUCUCUUGAGAGCUGUUCUUCCCUCCCAGGGCUUCCCUGUGAUUGCCAAAGCUAAUGUUGCUGCUGGAGUCUCCCUUCCAAUGACCCCUUUGGCAUCAGGAUUUUUGUCACUGCCAUGUUGACAACAACUCCCUCCUGGUCCCUUGGAGCUUCUCUGCCUUCAUUGCAUCACCUCAGCAGCACCCAGGAAUCACGGCAGGCAUAGAAUUAGCUCAGCUUUUCAAAAGUGAUGAGUGCAGAAAAUGUCUGGCCUAUGUUCACUGUUUUAAAGAGGAAUUUCAUUUUCCCACCCUUCCAUCCUGACACUUUAUAAACGACGGGAUAAGAUUGUAUUUAUCAUAAAACCAAAUUUUUCUUUAUCUUUUGGUCCGAGGAGUCUCCUUAUCACAGUUCCAGAGCUGUAGCUUCUUCAGCCUCCAAAUGAAUAGCCAGACCAUUUUUGCAAAGUGGUUCUUUUCUAAACCUUGCUUCUCAGGAAUUGAAAAUAAGUGUUGUGCCUUGCAGACUUAAUGUUCCCUCAGGGCUGCUUGUACAGAAAGGUUAUGGCUUUUGUGGAGUGAUAACCUACCAUCUAAUGAGUCUUCCAGCACAAGGAAAAGCCUGAUCUUCUUGUAAUGAAAGACAGGCAUGAGAGAAGAAAGAAACAAAGCAAAA